GGUGGACGGUGUGCGUAGUGUCAAUCUACGUCUAGAGCCGUCUCCAGUCUGUGUCUUACAGGCUAUGAAAUGGUUCUCACACCACACUCACAGCCACAGAGCCAAUGGAGAUCAUAGUACUGGCCCAGUGACGUCUAAACGACUACCCACCACUGGCCAGCCUCCAUAGUCUCCUACAAGA
rnacentral:snoRNA from 1 species